AUUGAACGCUGGCGGCAGGCCUAACACAUGCAAGUCGAACGAGUGGCGGACGGGUGAGUAAUGUCUGGGAAACUGCCUGAUGGAGGGGGAUAACUCCUGGAAACGGUAGCUAAUACCGCAUACCAUCAGAUGUGCCCAGAUGGGUUUAGCUUGUUGGUGGGGUAACGGCUCACCAAGGCGACGAUCCCUCGCUGGUCUGAGAGGAGGACCAGCCACACUGGGACUGAGACACGGUCCAGACUCCUACGGGAGGCAGCAGGGGGGAAUUUUGCACAAUGGGCGCAAGCCUGAUGCAGCCAUGCCUCGUGUAUGAAGAAGGCCUUCGGGUUGUAAAGUACUUUCAGCGGGGAGGCGUUACCCGCAGAAGAAGCACCGGCUAACUCCGUGCCAGCAGCCGCGGUAAUUC
rnacentral:rRNA from 1 species